AUGCACCUACGGGGGGCAGCAGUGGGGGAUAUUGGACAAUGGGGGAAACCCUGAUCCAGCGAUGCCGCGUGAGGGAAGAAGGUUUUCGGAUUGUAAACCUCUGUGGACAGGGACGAUAAUGACGGUACCUAUCAAGAAAGCCACGGCUAACUACGUGCCAGCAGCCGCGGUAAUACGUAGGUGGCGAGCGUUGUCCGGAAUUACUGGGUGUAAAGGGAGUGUAGGCGGGAAGGCAAGUCAGAAGUGAAACUUAUGGGCUCAACCCAUCACCUGCUUUUGAAACUGUUUUUCUUGAGUGAAGCAGG
rnacentral:rRNA from 1 species